GAGCAACGGCCUUCUAAGCCGUGGGUCAGGGGUUCGAAUCCCUUAAGGUACACCA
rnacentral:tRNA from 1 species